UCCUCCGUAGCUCAGAGGCCAGAGCUGCCGACUCUUAAUCGGUAGGGCGGUGGUUCGACUCCACCCGGGGGAA
rnacentral:tRNA from 1 species